AGCGAACGCUGGCGGCAGGCCUAAUACAUGCAAGUCGAACGGAUCCUUCGGGAUUAGUGGCGGACGGGUGAGUAACACGUGGGAACGUGCCCUUUGGUUCGGAACAACUCAGGGAAACUUGAGCUAAUACCGGAUGUGCCCUUCGGGGAAAAGAUUUAUCGCCAUUGGAGCGGCCCGCGUCUGAUUAGCUAGUUGGUGGGGUAAAGGCCUACCAAGGCUACGAUCAGUAGCUGGUCUGAGAGGAUGAUCAGCCACACUGGGACUGAGACACGGCCCAGACUCCUACGGGAGGCAGCAGUAGGGAAUCUUGCGCAAUGGGCGAAAGCCUGACGCAGCCAUGCCGCGUGAAUGAUGAAGGUCUUAGGAUUGUAAAAUUCUUUCAGCGGGGACGAUAAUGACGGUACCCGCAGAAGAAGCCCCGGCUAACUUCGUGC
rnacentral:rRNA from 1 species